rnacentral:rRNA from 1 species
GAUGAACGCUGGCGGCGUGCCUAAUACAUGCAAGUCGAGCGAACAGACGCGGCGCUUGCUCCUCUGACGUUAGCCGCGGACGGGUGAGAAACACGUGGAUAACCUACCUAUAAGACUGGGAUAACUUCGGGAAACCGGAGCUUAUCCCGGAUAAUAUCUUGCUCCGCAUGGUUCAAUAGUGAGAGACGGCUUUGCUGUCACUUCUAGAUGGAUCCGCGCCGCAUUAGCUAGUUGGUAAGGUAACGGCUUACCACGGCAACGAUGCGUAGCCGACCGGAGAGAGUGGUCGCCCACACGGGAGCUGAGACACGGUCCAGACGCCUGAGGGAGGCAGCAGUAGGGUAUCGUCCGCAAUGGGCGAAAGCAUGACGGAGCAACGCCGCGUGAGUGAUGACGGUCUCCGGAGCGUAAAGCUCUGUUACGAGUGAAGAACAACUGUGUAAGUAACUAUGCACUUCUUGACGGUACCGAAUCAGAAAGCCACGGCUAACUACGUG